rnacentral:rRNA from 1 species
GACGAACGCUGGCGGCGUGCUUAACACAUGCAAGUCGAACGAAGAGCGAUGGAAGCUUGCUUCUAUCAAUCUUAGUGGCGAACGGGUGAGUAACGCGUAAUCAACCUGCCCUUCAGAGGGGGACAACAGUUGGAAACGACUGCUAAUACCGCAUACGAUCUGACCUCGGCAUCGAGGAUAGAUGAAAGGUGGCCUCUACAUGUAAGCUAUCACUGAAGGAGGGGAUUGCGGCUGAUGAGCUCGUUGGAGGGGUAACGGCGCACCAAGGCGAUGAUCAGGAGCCGGACGGAGAGGAUGAACGGCCACAUUGGGACUGAGACACGGCCCAGACUCCUACGGGAGGCAGCAGUGGGGAAUCUGCCGCAAUGGACGAAAGUCUGACGGAGCAACGCCGCGUGAGUGAUGACGGCCUUCGGGUUGUAAAGCUCGGUUAAUCGGGACGAAAGGCCUUUUUGCGAAUAGUGAGAAGGAUUGACGGUACCGGAAUAGAAAGCCACGGCUAACUACGUG